GGUGUCUCUUUCCCCACAGAUGUAACCAGGUUCCUGUGGGCGACACGGCUUUGCUAAGCCUGCCUGCCUUCUGUGUCCUCCUCUGGGCCUGAGUGCAGAGGGUGAGAGUCCACAUCCCCAGAACCAUGGGGACUGAACAGGAUUACUACAGAGCAGCAAAGAAGUGGGGCACCAAAGGAAAGAGUACACAACACCUUGUGAACACAGAAUCCUGGUGGACCCACAAUAUGUGGGAGUUCAGUGAGACUUAACGAGGAAAAGACCUACGUGUGAACUGAUGCAAGCAGCUAAUGCCAAGCCUAACAUGCUCCAUAUGUGUUAGAAGUUUUAAGAUUUGACCUUCGAGAGCUGAGGGCAGGCCUCUGUCAGAACAGAGUAUGGAACGGGAAAUUGGUUAUGGAGCUGGACGAGAGGCUGAGAAUGUGGAUCAUCCUCCGAAGACGCUGUCCAGGGAAGACCUGGAGUGAAUCAUGGGCCAAGGGUGGAGGCCAAGUUACGGGGACACAGAGGCGAAGACAAGGGCAGCAGUGCCCACCACAGGAAUUCCUACCCUUCAACUUUGUUCAUAGUGGUCCCUACUUUUAAUAUAUGUAAUGUAUUAAGACAGACAAUUCUGAGGUUGUAGUAACAAGGGAAAUGCAACCGGCACAGACAA